rnacentral:rRNA from 1 species
UACGGAGGAUGCGAGCGUUAUCCGGAUUUAUUGGGUUUAAAGGGUGCGUAGGCGGACGCUUAAGUCAGCGGUAAAAUUGCGGGGCUCAACCUCGUCGAGCCGUUGAAACUGGGUGCCUUGAGUGGGCGAGAAGUACGCGGAAUGCGUGGUGUAGCGGUGAAAUGCAUAGAUAUCACGCAGAACUCCGAUUGCGAAGGCAGCGUACCAGCGCCCAACUGACGCUGAAGCACGAAGGCGUGGGUAUCGAACAGG